CCUGUUUACCUAGCAUAUACAACAGCUGACAUAGCUGCGGCGUGAUUGCGUAGGCGUGUUGUGUACGGGAUACGGGGCUGUCUCUUCCGUGCAUUCGUCUGCACAAGCCUGCCGUUCAGUGCCCCAACAGCCCCGAAAACACGAAUGGCCGACACCUGCAUGUGAAAUUCUUCAUAGUUCCGUGCAGGUAGUGCAAAAAAAGAGAGGGAACAAGCGUGAACCACUGCUGUUGCUGGCAGUGUCAAUCAUUCAGUAAAGGACAACGUCCAACAACAUGCCCGAUGUGUCGGCAGCGUGGAAUUCGAGGAUCGAUGAGUCGCCUUGAAGUACCUGGCAUUGGAUUAUUCAACCUAUGGGGCCACAACUUCUUCUACAACUGAUGUCACGAGCGACAUGAUG